rnacentral:rRNA from 1 species
AUUGAACGCUGGCGGCAGGCUUAACACAUGCAAGUCGAGCGAGCGGCGGACGGGUGAGUAAUGUCUGGGAAACUGCCUGAUGGAGGGGGAUAACUACUGGAAACGGUAGUUAAUACCGCAUACCAUCAGUUGUGACCAUCUGGGAUUAGCUAUUAGGUGGGGUAAUGGCUUACCUAGGCGACGAUCCUCAGCGGGUCUGAGAGGGUGACCGGCCACACGGAAACUGAGACCCGGUCCAGACUCCUACGGAAGGCAGCAGUGGGGAAUAUUGCACAAUGGGCGCAAGUCUGAUGCAGCAAUGCCGCGUGUGUGAAGAAGGCCUUCGGGUUGUAAAGCACUUUCAGCGAGGAGGCGGUACUCGAAGAAGAAGCACCGGCUAACUCCGUGCCAGCAGCCGCGGUAAUAC